AGUACGCCCAAGGAGUUUGUAAUCCCAAACUCCAUACUCCGAUAUUUUUCCUGGUGUAACACCAGGAAACUCCGACAUCCCUCCCAAAAUUCUCGGAGAAAUUUGGGAGUAUUCCCUCCGACUUCCGCGUAAAUCCGCUACCUUUUGUUUAUUGUAUUAGCGACAUCUCUCCCAGUCUGGUGUGACGCGGUGUGACACCAGGUAAUUAAUUGCCCUAAUCCGUCUGAUCUAUGCCGGCACGCGACAGUCAAGGUAUGUGAGAUUUCUAAUGUAAUUAAACAAUUGUAUUUCCUGUCUAUUGAUUAUCAGGUUAUAUCUGAUUGCUUGAAACAAAUGAAAGAUUAAAAUAAAAAGCAAAACGUUGUUGUUAAUUCUUUCAAUUACUCUGUACAUUUUAAUCAAGUUUUUAAACAACUAUAUUUGAUUUUGACUUCCGUUUUUUUAUCAGUAAAUAAAUAUUUAAUUUACUAAAAGAGAUAUAAUUGUGCAACAAUAAACGGAGACUAACGCUGAAUAAAUGAGG
rnacentral:lncRNA from 1 species